rnacentral:rRNA from 1 species
UACGUAGGGGGCUAGCGUUGUCCGGAUUUAUUGGGCGUAAAGAGCGUGUAGGCGGCCAGGUAGGUCCGCUGUGAAAGUCCGAGGCUCAACCUCGGAAUGUCGGCGGAAACCCUCUGGCUAGAGUCCGGAAGAGGAGAGUGGAAUUCCCGGUGUAGCGGUGAAAUGCGCAGAUAUCGGGAAGAACACCCGUGGCGAAGGCGGCUCUCUGGCCCGAGUACUGACGCUGAGGCACGAAAGCGUGGGGAGCAAACAGG